rnacentral:lncRNA from 1 species
GACAAGAACUGCUGGCCCUGCAGGAGGAGCUACGGGAAGUGGCCGAGCCCCGGCGGGCUGCGUGGGAAUCCCGGGUUGGAGGCCUAGGUCAGGGGCCAGAGUGGAGCAACUCAAGGAAAGCCUUGCGGGAGGUCGUCGAACGGGAGUUGGCAGACCUGCAGGGGUCCUGGAAGCUAUGCAGUACCCCUGCCCAGCCACAAAGACCCCAUCGACUGGUGAGAAGUAAAGACGGGGCACCAAGACGCCAGGGCCUACAGGCAGCCGAGGUGAUCAGGACACUGAGCGCCAAGGAGGACUGUCUGAAGAAGGCAUUGCACCAGCUACAGUGUCAGUGUCAACAGGAGCUGGCCAGGCUGGCCGGUACUCUGCCUGGCUUGAUUUGGGUUCUGCCCCCUGGACACUGAAGGCCCCCAAGAUGUACCCAUCUGUGUAGAGCUUGGGUAGGAUCUCAGAGGAGCAGACUGGGGCUGCAUGGAGCAGAGGUCCAGGCGUGUGCUCCCUCCAGGGCCAGAGCCCUUUUCCUGCAGUUCUAGUGUUACAAUAGGCUGGUCCCCCUGAAAGGUUUGGAGGGGACCUAUGUGUACACAGUGGAGCUGUUCCUGGGGACAUGGGGCUGCUUCCCAUUAUCUUCCUCUUUUUGGCAUACUAGGUAUGUGUAGUGUAUGGCUGGCACCAUGCUGUAAUCACAUAUGCCCCAAAGUACAGAAAGUCUUGGGCCUCUCCUGAGUGGGACAGCUCUGGUUUUUCCCUGAACCUCUUUCUUAGACUCUG